UAGCCAUUGUUAGCAGCUAGCUAGCGUUACCUAGAUAACAUUUAUCAACCAAUUCCUUUCUCCAGCGCGAAUUAAAGACUACCUGAGGAACAGGAGGGUCUAUCUCUAUCAGCCCCAGGCCCUGCUUCAUCCCUGCACAGAGACUGAAGAGAAGGGUCUGGGCUGCAGACUGGAUCCCUGACUGGAGUCUCGGUCACUCUGAUGACCACCAGGACUGAGGUUGUUCAGUCCACCUGUCGUGUUCUGUGUAGUGGUUGUGGUGGAGUCUCUGUCCCUCGCGGUUGGGUCCUGGUUCCAACUCGGGAAGGAAGCGUGAUGGCUCCUGAUCCAGGGUUCUGAGACGGAGCCGGGGUUUGUGACCAGCCACCUCAGAGGUCCAGUCUCCCCCACCAGUAACACUGGAUAUCAGCAGGUCUUCAAGGACUGCAGACUGCAAACAAAGAUGGUACAGAAAAGCAUAAAGGUUUAUUUAAGAAACUCUUUACUGUUUGAGUUUGAGUUUAUUUUUACAGGGACAGUGUACAUUAAUCAACGUUUCAGUAAAAGUGCCGGUUUUAGCCAGCCGGCUAAUUUUCAACCGCAGUCCCUGGGCAGGUUAUUAAAAACAAUUACAAUAUAGACAAUAGCAACAUAGAACAAGACAUAGCAACAUAGGACAAGCAAGACGUAGCAUACAGACAGAGCAACAUAGAACAAAAAGCAGCAAGACAAAAUUCAUAAAAGCAACAAAAUGUUUCCACACCUAGUCUACAGACAACAGACAUGGAAAGCGGCAACACACAGCUAGGGACCAUGUUCACAAAUCUGAUUGACCUUUUGCCAUGUCUUCAAGCAUUUUGUGAAAGUGUGAUAUGUGGUGCAGUUAUGUGUGUCUGAUGGCAGUGUAUUCCAGACAUGGGAAGCUCUCACAGAAAAAGUGGAUUGUACACAGAAACAUUACAUAUUAUAAAAUGUUAACCACAGUCAAGCCCAUCUCUAUAACUGAUUGAAGUACCUAACAAUAUGAAGCCAUUGAAAUUAUUUUUUUAUGUCCAAACUCCGUCCCUACAAAAAUAACCAAGUCAGUCAGGACAGUCAAUUUCGUAUUUAAUUAAAACAAAUCACAUUUAUUGCACAAAACGAUAUGUGACAAGUAGAAUAACUUUUCUCAUUAUGUUAACACUUUACUUUUUCUGUAAAUCUGGUACCCUCCCUUUGGUAAAAUUAAUGUUAAAAUACUUUGGAAAUGUUUAAUAUUACAUUACACACAGCUUCUCUACUUCAUGUCAAGUAAACAUGAAUUAAGAUACUAUCAUUAUCUCACUAUAAAACACCAGUAUCAAACAGUACAAAGUUGUCACUUUUCAUCAGUGAAGCCCCUUCACAGACACCAUCACACCAACCAUCACCAUAUCAUCUACUCUGCCUCAUCAUACUCAUUCUUCCCUCAGUUCUCCUCAUCCAGUUCCCUACUACAUCCAAAACCAACAGAAUGAACUAUAAACUACCUAGUACUACAUUACAUGUCACUAUACAUGGGCCUGUGCAUUUUCCCCAGACCCUCCUCUCACCCCUCCUCCUUCACCAGCAGCACCUCCUCCUGGAAGAGACAUGUGAUACAGACAUACACUCCCUCAGGGCAGGUCCUUAGCAGCUCCCAGCUGGUGAGGGUGGUAACCCUAACCCUAACCUGACCAAUGGUUGACUGUGUGAUGAGAGAGGUGUGUAAGACCUUGCAGCUCAUCUUCUGGGACUCGACUGCUUCGUCCGCGUGUUGUGGGUGGUGACAACAGCCUCAUAUGGCUUUGCAGGGCACAGAAUUUAAUUCUGUUUUGGGUAAUGGAACAUCUUAACCGUAGCCGAGUCAGAAUCCGGCGAUACGAAGUACCAUGUAAAAACAGCUAUUCAAGUGCGUCCGGUUGGCUGGAAUGGCCUUCUUUUUUUA